rnacentral:rRNA from 1 species
AGCAGCCGCGGUAAUUCCAGCUCCAAUAGCGUAUAUUAAAGUUGCUGCAGUUAAAAAGCUCGUAGUUGAAUUUCGGGACUAAUAUGUCGGUCGUGCCUCGGUACGUACUGGCAUUGUUGGUUUCUCCCUUCUGACGAACCAUGAUGUCAUUUAUUUGGUGUUGUGGGGAAUCAGGACUGUUACUUUGAAAAAAUUAGAGUGUUUAAAGCAGGCUCACGCUUGAAUACAUUAGCAUGGAAUAAUGAAAUAGGACGUUUGAUUCUAUUUUGUUGGCUUCUAGGAUCGACGUAAUGAUUAAUAGGGAUAGUUGGGGGCAUUAGUAUUCAAUUGUCAGAGGUGAAAUUCUUGGAUUUAUUGAAGACUAACUACUGCGAAAAGCAUUUGCCAAGGAUGUUUUCAUUAAUCAAGAACGAAAGUUAGGGGAUCGAAGACGAUCAGAUACCGUCGUAGUCUUAACCAUAAACUAUGCCGACUAGGGAUCGGAUGAUGUUAAUUU